rnacentral:misc_RNA from 1 species
GAUGAAGAACGUAGCGAAAUGCGAUAAGUAAUGUGAAUUGCAGAAUUCAGUGAAUCAUCGAAUCUUUGAACGCACCUUGCGCUCCUUGGUAUUCCGAGGAGCAUGCCUGUUUGAGUGUCAUUAAUAUAUCAACCUUCUCUUUUUUGAGUUGUUUGGAUGUGGGGGUUUGCUGGCCUCUUAAAUGAUUCAGCUCCCCUGAAAUGCAUUAGCAGAACAACCUGUUCAUUAGCGUGAUAAUUAUCUAUGCUAUUGAAUGUGAGGGCAGUUCAGCUUUCUAACCGUCCUUGGACAAUUCAUCAUUAAUGUGACCUCAAAUCAGGUAGGACUACCCGCUGAACUUAAGCAUAUCAAUAAGUGGAGGA